rnacentral:lncRNA from 1 species
CCGCUGCAAGAGGGGAAGUUGCUACUGUGAUGAAUUCUGCCAUGUGGCACCAGACUGCCACCCAGACCACAGUGUCCUCUGCAACCCUGGUCAAAGCUUCUCAGAUGACCAAGAUGGUGCUGCAGAUGGUGCUGAGGAUGGAGAACCCACCAAGCCCCGCUAGGAGCCACCUAGACUGGAUGCAGAGCAUGGAUUCUGGAUGUAUACAGAUGCUCUUCAUCUUAGGAAGGGGUUACGUCCCAAUAAACACGUGGCUAAAACCUUUGAAGAAGAAUUUAUUAUAUCCUACAAACCUGGGAGGCAGAGGUUGCAGUGAGCCAAGAUUGGGCCAUCGCACUCCAGCCUGGGCAAUAAGAAUGAAACUCUGUCUCAAAAAAAACAAAAGUUGGCCAGGGCUGGGCGUGGUGGCUCACACCUGUAAUCCCAGCAC